UACGUAGGGUGCGAGCGUUGUCCGGAAUUAUUGGGCGUAAAGAGCUCGUAGGCGGCCUGUCGCGUCGGAUGUGAAAGCCCGGGGCUUAACCCCGGGUCUGCAUUCGAUACGGGCAGGCUAGAGUUCGGUAGGGGAGAUCGGAAUUCCUGGUGUAGCGGUGAAAUGCGCAGAUAUCAGGAGGAACACCGGUGGCGAAGGCGGGUCUCUGGGCCGAUACUGACGCUGAGGAGCGAAAGCGUGGGGAGCGAACAGG
rnacentral:rRNA from 1 species